GACGAACCGUGCAAACGUUGUUCGGAAUCACUGGGCUUAAAGGGCGCGUAGGCGGGCAGGCAAGUCGAAGGUGAAAUCCCACGGCUCAACCGUGGGAGUGCCCCCGAUACUGCCUGUCUCGAGGGAGAUAGGGGCGUGCGGAACUUCCGGUGGAGCGGUGAAAUGCGUAGAUAUCGGGAGGAACACCGGUGGCGAAGGCGGUUCUCUGGGCCUUACCUGACGCUGAAGCGCGACAGCGUGGGGAGCAAACAGG
rnacentral:rRNA from 1 species